rnacentral:rRNA from 1 species
CCUACGGGCGCAGCAGUGGGGAAUAUUGGACAAUGGGCGAAAGCCUGAUCCAGCCAUGCCGCGUGUGUGAAGAAGGCCUUCGGGUUGUAAAGCACUUUCAGUGGGGAAGAAAGCCUUGGGGCUAAUACCCUCGAGGAAGGACAUCACCCACAGAAGAAGCACCGGCUAACUCCGUGCCAGCAGCCGCGGUAAUACGGAGGGUGCGAGCGUUAAUCGGAAUUACUGGGCGUAAAGCGCGCGUAGGCGGUCUGAUAAGCCGGUUGUGAAAGCCCCGGGCUCAACCUGGGAACGGCAUCCGGAACGGUCAGGCUAGAGUGCAGGAGAGAAGGGUAGAAUUCCCGGUGUAGCGGUGAAAUGCGUAGAGAUCUGGAGGAAUACCAGUGGCGAAGGCGGCCUUCUGGACUGAAACUGACGCUGAGGUGCGAAAGCGUGGGUAGCAAACAGGAUUAGAUACCCGUGUAGUC